rnacentral:rRNA from 1 species
UCGAGGAUCUCCGGCAAUGGGCGCAAGCCUGACCGAGCGACGCCGCGUGCGCGAUGAAGGCCUUCGGGUUGUAAAGCGCUGUCGAGGGGGAGGAAAGCCCGCAAGGGCCUGACCUAUCCCUGGAGGAAGCACGGGCUAAGUUCGUGCCAGCAGCCGCGGUAAGACGAACCGUGCGAACGUUGUUCGGAAUCACUGGGCUUAAAGGGCGCGUAGGCGGGUCUUCAAGUCUGGGGUGAAAUCUUUCGGCUUAACCGGAAAAGUGCCUCGGAUACUGGAGACCUCGAGGGAGGCAGGGGCGGAUGGAACUUCCGGUGGAGCGGUGAAAUGCGUUGAUAUCGGAAGGAACGCCGGUGGCGAAAGCGAUCCGCUGGACCUCUUCUGACGCUGAGGCGCGAAAGCCAGGGGAGCAAACGG